rnacentral:rRNA from 1 species
AUGUCUGAAUUGGAAAGGAUAGUUGAAGAUCUAGGCUAUGAGAUGGCAGGUAGAUUGGAUGUAUAUUGGUGUUUGCCAGGGUUGCAAAUUAAGACUGGUGGUCUUAGGAAAAUGAAUUCCCAGGAAGCUUGUGACAAUAUUAGUGCUUGUGUAGUUUUUGGACAUAAAGAAAUUCAGUUAUUCCUUGACCAUGAUGAGAGCUACAGGAGUAUCGAAUGGGAUGAUGUUGUGGUCUUUCCUGUCAAUGAUUUACCUCAUGUGAUCAGUCCUAGGAAAGUAAAAGAGGAGAAAUUUGCAGAGAGAAUGUCUGAACAAAAUAUGGCAGAGGAGCAAGGUGAUGACAAUGCAGAGGAGGCUGGGCAGAACAUGGAAGAGGGGCAAGGUGAUGAGCAAUUCAAUGAGGAAGAAAUUGAGCAGUAUAUGGCAGAUGCUGAGGAAGAGGAUGAGGCUGAUGUGGAAGAGGAACAGGAGGAAGAUGUUGUGGAAGAGGAACAUGAUGAAUAUGCACAGUCAGAUGUAGAUGAUGGCAGUCUUUCUCAUGCUGGAAGAGGAGUUAGUGAUUCAGAAAAUGGGGAUGAAAUUGUGGACAGUGAUUAUGUUAUAUCUGAUGGAGAUGUAGAUCUUCUAGAAGAUCAAAUAGAAGAGGUGGUAAUAGAUGUAAAAGGAAAGAAAGCUGCAGAUAUUGGAGCUUCUUCUGAUGAGGAAGAUCUUCAGAUGCCAGAUUCUGAUGAGGAUGAGCUGAAGCACAACUUCAAUACAUUCAGGCCAGAAGAUAUGCAUGAUCCUGUGUUCAAAGUUGGACAGUUAUUCCAGUCACCAGAGAUGUUAAGGAAAGCCAUUAGGAAUAUUUAA